rnacentral:rRNA from 1 species
AUUGAACGCUGGCGGCAGGCCUAACACAUGCAAGUCGAACGGUAACAGGAAGAAGCUUGCUUCUUUGCUGACGAGUGGCGGACGGGUGAGUAAUGUCUGGGAAACUGCCUGGUGGAGGGGGAUAACUACUGGAAACGGUAGCUAAUACCGCAUAACGUCGCAAGACCAAAGAGGGGGACCUUCGGGCCUCUUGCCAUCGGAUGUGCCCAGAUGGGAUUAGCUAGUAGGUGGGGUAACGGCUCACCUAGGCGACGAUCCCUAGCUGGUCUGAGAGGAUGACCAGCCACACUGGAACUGAGACACGGUCCAGACUCCUACGGGAGGCAGCAGUGGGGAAUAUUGCACAAUGGGCGCAAGCCUGAUGCAGCCAUGCCGCGUGUAUGAAGAAGGCCUUCGGGUUGUAAAGUACUUUCAGCGGGGAGGAAGGGAGUAAAGUUAAUACCUUGGCUCAUUGACGUUACCCGCAGAAGAAGCACCGGCUAACUCCGUG